rnacentral:rRNA from 1 species
CGGGCCUUGUACACACCGCCCGUCACACCAUGGAAGCCAAUUGUACCGGAAGCCGGUGAUCCAACCCGUAAGGGGGUAGCCGUCCAUGGUAUGGUUGGUGACUGGGGUG